CCUAGGGCGGGGAAGAUGCCAAGGGACUUGCCCAAGGUCGCCCAGUCAUUCCUGACAGAGUCUGGACUGGAGCCUGGGGCCUGCUCAGUAAACUGGAAACAGGAGAACCCCCUGAUUCAAGAGUUAUGUUUCAGGACUGGUUCACCCCCAUGCCACACCCGCAGCCCAGCCUCUUCCAGAAGGAUCCCCAGGAUCACCCUGGGGUGGGUGAAGGCAGCCCACAAGUCCAGCUGCCAGGUGACCACAGCAAGAGGGCACCAGUGUACAAACCAGGAAGAGAACUCUCCCGUAGGAAGACGGGCUUGCACCUUGAUCUUGGACUUCCCAGCCUCCGAACCUGAGAAAUAAAUGUCUGGCACUUUA